rnacentral:rRNA from 2 species
GUUCCCUGAAGGGCCGUCGAAGACUACGACGUUGAUAGGUUGGGUGUGUAAGCGCUGUGAGGCGUUGAGCUAACCAAUACUAAUUGCCCGUGAGGCUUGACCAUAUAACACCCAAGCAAUU